UACGAAGGGGGCUAGCGUUGUUCGGAAUCACUGGGCGUAAAGCGCACGUAGGCGGAUGUGCCAGUCAGGGGUGAAAUCCCGGAGCUCAACUCCGGAACUGCCUCUGAUACAGCACGUCUUGAGUUCGAGAGAGGUGGGUGGAAUUCCUAGUGUAGAGGUGAAAUUCGUAGAUAUCAAGCGGAACACCGGUGGCGAAGGCGGCCUUCUGGACAGAUACUGACGCUGAGACGCGAAAGCGUGGGGAGCAAACAGG
rnacentral:rRNA from 1 species